rnacentral:rRNA from 1 species
CCCUUAGAUGUUCUGGGCUGCACGCGCGCUACACUGAAGCGUUCAACGAGUAUUCACCUUGCCCGGGAGGGUUGGGUAAUCUUUUGAAAACGCUUCGUGAUGGGGAUAGAUUAUUGCAAUUAUUAAUCUUCAACGAGGAAUUCCUAGUAAGCGCAAGUCAUCAGCUUGCGUUGAUUACGUCCCUGCCCUUUGUACACACCGCCCGUCGCUCCUACCGAUUGAAUGGUCCGGUGAAGCGUUCGGACCGUGGCCUUUGGACGGUUCGCCGUCUGUUGGCUGCGGGAAGUUCGUUAAACCUUAUCAUUUAGAGGAAGGAGAANUCGUAACA